rnacentral:tRNA from 1 species
AUACCUAUCGAAUCUUAAUAAUGAACGAAAGAAAGUGAAAGAAAUAAAGUUUUAACCUCCCGUCCUUUCCAACAAAGCAAUCAU